CCUACGGGUGGCAGCAGUGGGGAAUAUUGGGCAAUGGGCGCAAGCCUGACCCAGCAAAGCCGCGUGAAGGAAGAAGGCUUUAGGGUUGUAAAAUUCUUUUGACAGAGAAGAGUAGACGACGGUACCUGUCGAAUAAGACAGGGCUAACUACGUUCCAACAGCCGCGGUAAUACGUAGGUGGCAAGCGUUGUCCGGCUUUACUGGGUGUAAAGGGCGUGUAGCCGGGUUGACAAGUCAGAUGUGAAAUCCUGCGGGUUAACCGCAGAACUGCAUUUGAAACUGGUGAUCUUGUGUACUCGAGAGGCAUACGGAAAUCCUAGUGUAGCGGUGAAAUGCGUAGAUAUUAGGAAGAACACCAGUGGCGAAGGCAGCCUGCUGGACAUCAACUGACGGUGAGGCGCGAAAGCGUGGGGAGCGAACAGGAUUAGAUACCCCUGUAGUC
rnacentral:rRNA from 1 species